ACACACACACACACACACACACACACACACACACACACACACACACACACACACACACACACACACACACACACACACACACACGGUGCUCGCACGCUGUCAACCUUGUACCACCCGGAGAAGGGCUCUUUGGAUCAAACCAUUCAAAUCAUUAUACAACUGUUAGUUCUAACAACUUAGUUUUUCCUCAGUCACUUUGGUACAUUUCUCAGAUCAGAAUUUAAAUUCUCAAAACGACCCGUUCAAUCUCCACAUCAUUGUGUCACUUGUGCACAUCAAAAAAGCAGUUUCUCAUUUCUUUGAACAAGUUGCAAAUGCUUUGGUACAUUCAUGCAAAUUACUAUGUACAUUCUCUGCUCUUUCCUACAUUAUCAAUUGCUUAUGUCCUGUUGAUCGAAAUGUAUUGUAAUGGGUCUCUAUUGAAUAGUCCUACCCCCACGACAUUAGUUAAUUGCAUAAGUCUUUACAUGCAAAAUGGUUGAACAAGUUGUCAUAAUAUGUCAAGCAUAUUUCUAUACAUGUCCAUUAGACUUUUUUUCUAAAUCUGUCCUGAAUUGGUAAAUUGCUACCAGGUGAAUCUUCACUUUCUCUACUGAAGUGAAAUGUGUGAGGUGUUAGAUCAACAAACAAUCAACCAGUUUACUGAAAUAGCUCAAAGGUGCAUCUCAUGAACCAUAAACUGGCAAGUCUAUAGCUGGAGCACAACACAAUGUUACAUUGUCUGACAAUGGAAGGACAGGGAAUUGGACGGGGUCGACAGAAUGAGAGAAGAAGAAGAGGAAGAGGAGUGAGGCUGCGUGAGAAUGAGAAUUUGUGGCCCAACAGACAGGAACGUCAGGAGGUGUAGGAAGACUGCACUGUAAUUCCUACAGCAAUGCAUGUCAGUUUACCCUAAAGAGAUUAUGUUCACAUUUCUAGCAAUGACAUGGUCUGUCAACAAAUUACAGUACAAAGUCAAAUCAUAAUGUGAAUCUUGUCCAGUCUCUUGCAAUCAAUCUCCGACAUACACUAAGGUGUAACUUACAAUUUACAAUAAUUGUCUUCAAAACUUUAGCCAUAGUUUACAUCAGAACAUCCCUCCAGAGUAUAUUUACAACAUGACUAAGAAAUUUGACUGUCUUAUCCGUACACAAUGACACAAGGACUUGUCAUUCUGAUGGCACAGCUAUUUACUUUUGUGAGAUGAACCAAGGAUUUUGAGCAAGAGACUGGCUUUUGCAGGUAAUCCAUGGUGUUUAGCUAUUUGCACGAAUUGUUUUGAGAAAUGCAUUUACUGUUAUGCAAAUGUUGAGGAUGAUUCAAGAAAUGUACCAAAGCGACUGAGAAACUGUAAUUUGAUUGGACAAGAGGCAUUCCAUGAGUGCUGAUAUAGAGUAUAACAGCACUGGAACUUUUAACUAUUAAUGUAUCACUCCGCUUUACAGGUGCUUUACUAACCGUUAAUAUUAUUAACGUAUUUUAUGUAAUUUAGAUUGCAACAAGCUUUGAACCGCAAAGAUGAACAUAUUUCCAGAAUUAUAUUAAUUAAUUAUAUUCCACAUUAUAGUUAAAUUACGAAUGGUCAUCAGAAGAGGACGAAGGGAAGGAAAUAAGCCUGGAUACUUCAGCACAAACCUCCAGGUGUGCUUAUAUGACAUCGGCCAACUUCGACAUAUUAGAGAAGAGCACAAAAUGAAACCAACACUGUAAGGCAAACAACAUGGGCUUUGAACUGCUUUCAGACUUGGCUAAAUCUCAAAAAUAUAAACAUCAACAUUCAGUCUGUUAAGAAGACCGUCUAUUAUGGGUGCAACGGAUCACAAAACUCACGGUUCGGAUCAUGUCAUGGUUUUUGAGUCACGGGUCCGAUCAUUUUUGGAUCAACAACAACAAAAAGAUAAUAAGAAAAUACUUUAAUUAAAAUCUUCAAAUGUGUAAAAACAAAAUAAAGUGAAAAAUUGGGUAAUAAUCCUGCUUCCUUUAAGCAUGGAACAUUUUUAAAAAAUUGCUUGUGUCCACAUAAAAUACAAACUUUACUCAAGAUCUCCUUCCAAUGUAUAAAUUAUAAAAAAAAUUAAACAGUAUAAAGUGCAAAAUUAGGCAUUAUUCCUUCUUCUUUUAAACAUGGAUAGUAAAUAAAAUAGAAAUAGCUUGUGUCCACAUAAAAUAAAAACUUAAAUCAAGAUGUCCGUCCAAUGUAUGAAUACAAUCCUAAAAUAUUUUAAAACAAAAUGUAGUACAAUGCGAGGCAUUAUUCCUUCUUCUUUUUAACAUGGAUAGUAAAUAAAAAGAAAAACCUGUAUCCAAAGGAAGCACAGCAGACCUGGGCCCCGUUUCCCGAAAGCAUCGUUAGCCUAAGUGGUUCGUGAAGUGUGUCGUACGAGCAUCGUACAGUUUCCACACCGUUUCCCGAAAGCAUUGUUGGUGACGAGCGUUGUGAAAACGCUAUAGCUUAUGAGGACUCCAGGGGUACUCGUAGGGUGCUAAGAGCACAUUAUCCUACUGUAGCCUCAGUGGCGUUACCAGUGGACAUUCCGUGCUGGAUGCGUUUUAUUUAAAGAUCCCGGCAUGCCACACCCAUUUCAUUCAUUUUUUUAUAAUCCUUGAUGUCCUUUGAUCGAGUUUGUAACCUUGUUUGUGUUGGAAAUGCCUUGGAUAGCUUAUUACAAACUAUUCUAGCAUGUCUGAAAAGCCUGGUAGAAAAGACGAAUGCUCUUCUCAUGAAUAUCCAUCUAUUAAUGAGCGUUGCUCUGAUUGGACCGCUGUUUUCAUGAAUAUUCAAUAUUUAAAUUCCGCUUUGCUCUGAUCGGGAGAGAAAGCAGCUGUCCAUAUGCUUACCGAGGCACAGCAAGCCUAAAACCAUGGCAGGAAUUUUGCCCUACGUGUUUGAUCCAGAGUCGGAAGAUGAGACGGAAGGAGAAGACCAAGAACAACCACAAACACGUACAAUGAUGGACGUUUCAGAAUGGUAAUGUGAGCUAACUUAACUGACAUAUAGGGCAACCAGGUUAUUCAAAUAGGCCUAGGCUUAGGAUAGUCAUAAUUCUUUUUUAUGUUGGCAUUCAAAGAUGUGUUGUAGGCCGAUUUAGUCAUUUGCAAAGACCUACAGCAUUUUAAUUUUCAUAUAAUCAGACUGAUUUUUUUUAUAAUAUGUAGGCCUAUAGCCUAAUUUGUGUUUCAUUAUUGAUGGCUGCCAAACAUAUUGCCUACCUUUUGCUUCAGGUGUACCUGUGGGAAUUGCUCUACAAUGCAGAUAGAGGUGGAGAAUGUAAGCUGUAGGGAGACAUCAACGGUUGUAAGAAUAAUGGAAGACGAGGAUCCACCAGUAUUAUGCAUGACCUUCCACCAAGGACUAGAUCCAGUUUGUCUCAAUAGAUAUUCCCAGCAAAAUGCCCUGAACAUUUAUCAACGUGAUUAUGGGAACCCGCAAGUUAGAGGCAAUGACCGUUGCAGGUACUUGGCCUACAGGUCAUUUGUCAGCUGGUGCUGGGGAUAUCUUGGCAGGAAGAUACGUGUCGUCAUCCCCUCUUGUGUGGUCCAACACAUACGCAGGGAGUUCCCUGAAGCGGAAGGCCAAUAUGUGUGAUUUAAACCUCCUCCACUCUAAAGCGAGAUACAUAGUCCGCAAUAGCGUCUUCUAAGGGUGGACGUUCGUGUUGGGACGAUGGGGAACUGGGCACAGGAAUCUUCUGACUUUCCUCCAAGUAGGGUUAGGGACUACCUCUUCAAAGAGGAGAUGCAUCAGGCUGAGGGUAUAGCCUAAAAUAAAUACAAUGUAGGUAAACUCCACAUGUAACGAUGUACAAAGUGUUUUAUACAUCAAUAAAUAUUUUCUUACAACUUGGUUGUGUUUUUACUGCUUUCACCGUAGCCGCUCCUUUUUUUGCUUUUGGGAAACUGAGUUUGUACCUCAGUCUUCCUGAGUUUGUCUUCGCUUGGG